rnacentral:pre_miRNA from 1 species
CAUAUACUCCCUCCGUCUCAUAUUAAUUGUCGCUGAAACGCAUGUAUCUAGACGUAUUUCAGUGCUAGACACAUCCGUUUGAGCAACAAUUAAUAUGGGACAGAGGGAGUAUAAG